AGGGAAUCUUCCACAAUGGACGGAAGUCUGAUGGAGCAACGCCGCGUGAGUGAUGAAGGUUUUCGGAUCGUAAAACUCUGUUGUAAGGGAAGAACCAGUACGUCAGGCAAUGGACGUACCUUGACGGUACCUUAUUAGAAAGCCACGGCUAACUACGUGCCAGCAGCCGCGGUAAUACGUAGGUGGCAAGCGUUGUCCGGAAUUAUUGGGCGUAAAGCGCGCGCAGGUGGUUUCUUAAGUCAGGAGUGAAAGGCUACGGCUCAACCGUAGUAAGCUCUUGAAACUGGGAAACUUGAGUGCAGGAGAGGAAAGUGGAAUUCCUAGUGUAGCGGUGAAAUGCGUAGAUAUUAGGAGGAACACCAGUAGCGAAGGCGGCUUUCUGGACUGUAACUGACACUGAGGCACGAAAGCGUGGGGAGCAAACA
rnacentral:rRNA from 1 species